rnacentral:rRNA from 1 species
UGGCGACCGGCGCACGGGUGAGUAACACGUAUCCAACCUGCCGUCUACUCUUGGACAGCCUUUCGAAAGAAAGAUUAAUACCCGAUAGCAUAAUGAUUCCGCAUGGUUUCAUUAUUAAAGGAUUCCGGUAAAGGAUGGGGAUGCGUUCCAUUAGGUUGUUGGUGAGGUAACGGCUCACCAAGCCUUCGAUGGAUAGGGGUUCUGAGAGGAAGGUCCCCCACAUUGGAACUGAGACACGGUCCAA